GUCAGUGAGUGUGUAUGUCUGUCAGUGUGUAUGUCUGUCAGUGACUGUGUGUCUGUCAGCGAGUGUGUGUCUGUGUCUGUCAGUGAGUGUGUCUCAGUGAGUGUGUCUUGGUGUGUGUGUCUGUCAGUGAGUGUGUGUGUGUUUCUGUCAGUGAGUGUGUCUCAGUGAGUGUGUGUCAGUCAGUGUCAGUCAGUGUUGCGAUGGCUGUGGC